AAGAAAGUGACUGCCGCCCCGCACAGGGGCAGUGCUAAUAGACCACCAAGAAAACAGGUUUCACGACAACAACCGCGUAGCGAACCAAAAAACCCGCUAUCGCAAAUGCAC
rnacentral:sRNA from 1 species